UACGGGGGGGGCAAGCGUUGUUCGGAAUUACUGGGCGUAAAGGGCUCGUAGGCGGCCAACUAAGUCAGACGUGAAAUCCCUCGGCUUAACCGGGGAACUGCGUCUGAUACUGGAUGGCUUGAGUUUGGGAGAGGGAUGCGGAAUUCCAGGUGUAGCGGUGAAAUGCGUAGAUAUCUGGAGGAACACCAGUGGCGAAAGCGGCUCACUGGACCUGAUCUGACACUGAGGUGCGAAAGCUAGGGUAGCAAACGGG
rnacentral:rRNA from 1 species